rnacentral:rRNA from 1 species
UGGGGAAUUUUGGACAAUGGGCGAAAGCCUGAUCCAGCAAUGCCGCGUGUGUGAAGAAGGCCUUCGGGUUGUAAAGCACUUUUGUCCGGAAAGAAAUCCUUGGCUCUAAUACAGUCGGGGGAUGACGGUACCGGAAGAAUAAGCACCGGCUAACUACGUGCCAGCAGCCGCGGUAAUACGUAGGGUGCAAGCGUUAAUCGGAAUUACUGGGCGUAAAGCGUGCGCAGGCGGUUUGCUAAGACCGAUGUGAAAUCCCCGGGCUCAACCUGGGAACUGCAUUGGUGACUGGCGGGCUAGAGUAUGGCAGAGGGGGGUAGAAUUCCACGUGUAGCAGUGAAAUGCGUAGAGAUGUGGAGGAAUACCGAUGGCGAAGGCAGCCCCCUGGGCCAAUACUGACGCUCAUGCACGAAAGCGUGGGGAGCAAACAGGAUUAGAUACCCUGGUAGUCCACGCCCUAAACGAUGUCAACUAGUUGUUGGGGAUUCAUUUCCUUAGUAACGUAGCUAACGCGUGAAGUUGACCGCCUGGGGAGUACGGUCGCAAGAUUAAAACUCAAAUGAAUUGACGGGGUCAUAGCUGUUUCCUG